rnacentral:rRNA from 1 species
CCUACGGGAGGCAGCAGUGAGGAAUAUUGGUCAAUGGGCGCGAGCCUGAACCAGCCAAGUCGCGUGAAGGAUGACUGCCCUACGGGUUGUAAACUUCUUUUAUAAAGGAGUAAACUGAGGCACGUGUGCCUUUUUGUAUGUACUUUAUGAAUAAGGAUCGGCUAACUCCGUGCCAGCAGCCGCGGUAAUACGGAGGAUCCGAGCUUUAUCCGGAUUUAUUGGGUUUAAAGGGUGCGUAGAUGGGUUGUUAAGUCAGUUGUGAAAGUUUGAGGCUCAACCGUAAAAUUGCAAUUGAUACUGGCAGCCUUGAGUACAGUUGAGGUAGGCGGAAUUCGUGGUGUAGCGGUGAAAUGCUUAGAUAUCACGAAGAACUCCGAUUGCGAAGGCAGCUUACUAAACUGCCACUGACAUUGAUGCUCGAAGGUGUGGGUAUCAAACAGGAUUAGAUACCCGUGUAGUC